CAUUGAAACACUGGUUCCCAUACAAUUACCAAAGUUAAGCAACGUUAAGACUCAUCAGUACCUAGAUGAGUGACCACUUGGGAAUACCAGUUGCUGUAAG